rnacentral:lncRNA from 1 species
UUUUUAUAAUUACAGGUAGUGGUGGUAGUGGUGGCGGUGGUGGUCAAGGAGGCAAAUAUCAAGGAAAUAGCUUUCAGAAUAACAGUUAUCAAGGUAACCAAGGUGGAGGUUUUAAUAGUAGAGGGGGAGCUAGAGGUGGAAAUAGCAAUAGAGUAAAUAGUGGGCGAGGUGGAUUUAGAGGUGGAAGAGGGGCACCUCGUGGUGGUGCAAGAGGAGGCAGUGGAGUUCCUAAUAAUGAUUACAACAGCUAUGGAGGAGGUUAUCAACAGCCACAAAACUAUCAGCAAGAUUAUUCAUAUCAAAAUAAUGGAUAUGGAAAUUACCAACAAGGAUAUGGUCAGCAACAACCAAGUAGCUAUGGAGGAGGUUACAAUCAAACUAGUGGUGGUGGGGGUGGUGGUUAUCAAAGUAACAAUCGUUAUCAACCAUACUAAGUGGUGUUAAGGUUUCUAGUUUCUAAUCAAAUGCAGUCUAAGGACUAAAUCGUCAGACUAGGAAGUUGUACAUAGAAGACUUAAGUUCUAAUUGGUCAAUUUUAGCAAGAGAACGAUAUAUUUUCAAGAAGCUGAAACGUUUCAUAAGAUAACUAAGUGUGUGACAUCUUACCAUGGACUGAUUUUAUAUUUUAAUCUUCGUGGUUUUUUUUAUAAAUAAAGUAUCAGCCUUAAUUAUU